UCCACCCCGCGGAGGAUCUCCAAGGAGCUCGUGGCGGCCGGGGCUCACCUGUCCCGCCCCUUCGCGGGCUUCCCAGGUAGCUCGGGGCAGGGAGGAGCCGCGGGGUUGCCUGCGGGCGCGUACCGAGCCUGGAUCGGGAGCCAGGAGCCGGGACUGAGAUCCGAGAGCUGGGAGCCGGGAACCGACAGGCACGAGGACGGACCCGGAGGGCACAGCGGCGCAGUGACACUGGCUUGCUAAUCCGGCUGCUGACUGGUGAAAAACACCAGCUUUCUCCCAGCACAAGGCUGUCUCAAGAGAAGCAUGCUCUUGUCAUAAUACAACACCUCCAGCUGAUAAACCCAGACAGUCACAGAGGCUUUCAGGAUAAAGUAUCUACAUCAAAUGGCUUCCAGAAGGGCCAGAGACUGUGUUUUAACACCACUGGCUGAUGGCAGAAGCAGAGCUAUAAAGUGAAAAGGAAACCUGAGAUGACAAAGAACAACAGCCACAGGCCUGUUUGUCCCAAGAAAUGGUUGACUCUCACUCCCCUUGAUAACGACAAGCGAAAGGCUUCUUCAGACAAUAUUAGCAGACUGAAGAUCAGAUCAAGGGAUAUAACUGUCUAACUCCAUUCCAUACCACCUGGACCAAGUCUGGUACACAGUGUGGAGUUCUGUGCACUCAUUUCUCAAGAAGAUUCUGAAGUUCUCUCUAUUGCAACCACGUGGAAAGCUGGGAUGAAUGACUGCCAAGGUUCCUUCACUUCUAAUAUUCUAUGAUUUCAGGGGAAGAAUAUUAAUGAAGACUUUUAGUUAUGCCCUAAA